rnacentral:rRNA from 1 species
UUACAAUGAAGAGUUUGAUCCUGGCUCAGGAUGAACGCUAGCUACAGGCUUAACACAUGCAAGUCGAGGGGCAGCAU